GCAAGUCGAACGAUGAAACCUAGCUUGCUAGGUGAAUUAGUGGCGAACGGGUGAGUAAUAUAUAGCUAACCUGCCCCUUAGAGAGGGACAACAGUUGGAAACGACUGCUAAUACCUCAUACUCCUUUUUAACAUAUGUUAGAUUGGGAAAUGCUCCGGCGCUAAGGGAUGGGGCUUUACGGUAUCAGGUAGUUGGUGGGGUAAAAGCCUACCAAGCCUAUGACGCCUAGCUGGUCUGAGAGGAUGAUC
rnacentral:rRNA from 1 species